CUAGCCGUAUUUGACCUAGCCGUAAUCACCAUUUCCGCCAUAUUCCCUUGUUCCGUCUUGCUUUACACCGAAGCCAUUGUUGUCGUCCACUGUCGGAGCACCGUCUAUCAUCAGAGAGGGAGUGUUUCUCAUUGGAGCCACCAUUAGUGCUUUCAUUGGAUCGCGGUUGACCGGAGAGGUCAUGACGUGUUGGAGAUCACCAACCCUUACCAUCGGCUAGCCAUGGCUGUAGCUCUCUUAUGGAUUCAAUCGUGAGAGAAGUGGAGAUGAGGCAACCCGAGCGAUGACGUUUGUCAUCUCUAGCCACCACCGGCUCCGAUCUAUACCGUCGUUAGCCAUGAGUCAUUUCAGAAACAAGGCAUGUCGUGCCAUGAUCACCGGAGAUCGUACCAGCCGUCGUCAUCAAUCGUGAUCCAAGCCGUAUUAGCUAAGUGUUGCCUUCUCUGUUACUUGUGAUACAAGUUACAUGUAUAUCAUAAACCUUCAUCGAGUUCUUACAUGUGUAUAGUUGAAUCUUGUGCCAACCUAGACUUGGAGUUGCUCGUGCAUCACUUAAAAUGAUGGCGUAUGAAGAUAUUAUUGGAGCACAUUUCAUUUAACACUAUUAUUAAUACGAAGACACCUUUUCUGAGUGUUGUUAGUGGAGACAUAUCCGCUCUUGAGCAAUUCAUGUUCUGUCUCUGAACUUUGGCUACGGUGAGAGUCUAUUCCGUAAAUCACGUACCAGUGUAGAAUUCUCUCUAUCGUAGUUUAGAUUUCGAAUCAUGAUCCAUCUGUUUGAAUUGAGUCUGUUUGAGUCUUGAUUGUUAGUCAGUUCAUUCAUUGUAAACUGGAACUAGGGGUCUAGAGGAUUCAACCGUUGAUUUGAUUGUGUGAUGUUAAGAGAUGCGAUAUAUAUAUAUAUAUGUAUGUAUACAUAGUUAUGAGUAGGGACUAUGUGAGAGGGCGGGGGUCCAGAGAUGUCUGGACUAGCGACGCAGCUUUGGUGGGCGGGGGCUCAGAGACGUCUGGGCUAGCGACGCAGAUUGUGUGGGGCAUGGGUGCAGAGACGUUUGCAUUCGACGCAGCUUUGGAGGGCGGGGGUACAGAGACAGACUGUACUAGCGACGCAGCGUAUGUAUAUAUAUCUCCGUAUGAGGAGAUGCGGGGUGUAUGGACUAGCUAUAUGCUAUCAUCGCAUUGUUUGUGUUGUGUGAUGCUUUAGGCAUCUUGUUUGUUCAUGUUAGAGCUAAACUUCCAUAGCGGGAGUUAUAUUUACUCAAGUCAGUGGUUUGCGUGUUUAGCAUCCCAUACCUCACAGAGUAACUCCCCUGUUACUCACCCCUCCUUUCCUUCCCCUUACAGAUGAGACUGGCGAGCAGGAGUGAUUGCUAUCGGGCUGGUGCUUUGGGAGUUUUAUUUCUGUCUUUUUCAGACUUGCAGAUUUUAUGUUUUUAUCGAUAUUUUCGGGAUUUAUUAUGUUAUUUGAAUUUAUGGAUAUUUAUUGGAUUUACGACUUUAGAGUUGACUUUUGAGAAGUAAUAAAUGGAGAUUUCAGACUUUUUAUUUAUUUAAGUUAUUUCGGA
rnacentral:lncRNA from 1 species